CAGGAGCAAAUACAGAGUAUUUGGGUAGUGAAUAUAUGUGCAAUUUAUUUAAUCUGUAUUUUUGUUAUAUUUUUAAAUUUUUACUUUCCCAUGUGCAGUUCCACCCCAGGGCCUUUGCAUUUACCCUUCCCAGAAUGUUUUUCCUCCAGACAUCCACGUGGUUCCCUCCUUUGUUUCAUUCAUAAUUUGCUCACAUGACACCUUAUCAGAGACACUUGCCUUGACUAUUUAUUCUAAAUGAAAUUGCAUCAUGAGUCCUCCACAUCUUUUUCUAUCCUCUCGCCCUGCCACAUGUUUGUUUAUGGCUUCUCUGCCCCUACAAAAGGUAAGCUCCUACUAUAGUCUGAAUGUCGCUUGAGAAUUCAUACGUUGAAACCUAAUGCUCAAUGUGAUGGUAUUAGGAGGUGGGGGCCUUUGGGAAGUGAUCAGGCCAUGAGAGUAAGAGCCAUUAUGAAUGAUCAGUAUCCUUAAAAAAAAGACUCCAAAGAGCUCCCUUCCACCAUGUGAAGACAGCAGAAAGACUGCCAUGAGGAAGCACGCCCUUACCAGAUACCGAAUCUAUUGGUACCUUGAUUUUCGACUUCCUAUCACCCAGAACUGUGAAAAAUAAAUUCUGUUGUUUAUAAGCCACCCAAUCUAUGGUAGUCUGUCACAGCAGCCAAAAAAGGGCUUAGACCACUCCAGAGAAUAGAGAUGUGGCUGCAUUUAACUAGGAUCCCUCCAGCUCCUACAGUACUGGGUAGGUGGAAAUCCAUCAAUAAAUAUCAGUGAAUGAAUGAAUUUAAGAAGCCAAAGAUGAAAAGAUAAUAUAUUUGGUUUUGAAACAGAGGGGACAGGAUCAUUAAAUUUCACUCUGUAAGUUAUCCACCUUGUCCUGCCAAUUUAUUUACAACAUAAAGUUCACAACACUGGAACCAAUUAUAGUCUCACUACUUCUUAUAAUAUUUAAGACAGGCUAUUGCAAUCUGAGAGAAACUGACUAUAGAUCCCAGAACUUUGUUUUAUGCUUUCCCCAUGUCUUCAAUAACAGGAAGGAAAAUAAAACAAGCAAAGAAUCAACAACAAAAAAGAAAACGUAAACUCAGGCUGGAGGAGGUAAUAUUUGUUUUUUAAAAAAUUAUCAUAUGCUCUUUGACAGUUUGAUCUUUACAGAUAAAAGAAAGAAGUGUACAAAUGUAGAAUAUGAAUUUUUUUUAUUUCUUUAAAUAUAUAUGUCAUGAUAACUAUAUGACUUGAGUUAUAACAUAGCUUUAUUGCUAUAGUAGAAAUAACUGAGCUUUGGUGAAUUAGUGUCUUUUUCCAUCGUGAGAUGGACACCGUCAAGGCAAACAGAAGAUGAAGAUGGUGCCUGCAUCUAUGAGGUGAGAGAGUUAAGUGCUGCACUGCUGUGCUAAGCACAGAGCAUGGGCAUAUGGGCUGGGUUUUUCUAGGCCCAGGAAAAGCUUCAGGCAAGGACAGGGACAAGGGAUAUACCUACUCUGCUCCAAGCACUGCCCACAGGUCAAAGCAGCUUCUCUGUGAGUCAAUGCUUUAGUUACAAACAAUUGUCUCAGGAGUGAGAUCAUUAAUCACAUUUUAACUGAGGAUACUGCAAACCCCAAGAAGGCAUCAGAAGACUUUUUAAAUCCUUCUAUAUCAUAAUUAUCCAGUUUUUUGGUCCAAAUGUAAAGUUCAUAGAGGUUGUCUAUAAAAAAUAAAGUGGUACAAAAGGAAACCUUAUUUGAAAGUAAAAGUUAAGAAGCAAGGGGUUGUAAGUGAAUUUGAAGUCCAGUCUACAGUGUUGUUAUAGUUACCUAAGACAAACAGCUGUGAUUAUUGUGAUUUGUACACCUUUAGAAACAGAAUAGAUAACAGGAAAGGGUGCGGGGGUCUUGGAGAUGUAGCUAUUCAAUUAAAUAAUAAUUCAGUGGCCACCUGCUAUGUGUAUUGCCCCAACUGUUCCUAGGGAGUCAAUGGUAAAUAAGACUAAAUCUUUAUCCAAAGAAAGCUUUACAGUAUAGCAAGGGUAAAAUGGUAGCUACAUGACUGACUAUAAUACAUGCUAGAAAAAGAAAAGGUAUAUGCUAUAACGGGACAGAAACCAAAGUCUCUGAGGUACAAAGAUGAUGACAUUACAUGUUUUGGGGGAUCCAAUAUGGAAGUAAACCAUGAGAAAUGGAUUGUAAGAAUGGCUAUUGUAGGUAGACAGAACUUCAAGAGCAAUAGUAACGAAUGAGGAAGAAUAAGUAUGAAUAAAAAGAAGUUCAGCUUAUUAGCUCAGAGGGAAUAUACAGUGGAGCAGUGCUAAGAUGCAAUAUUGGAACGCAAAACGAUAUUAGAAAAAAUUAGAAUAUGGUAAAGGUUUUACCAUUUAUCCAUCAUGAAUGAAUGGUACCCUAACAGCAAUGACAAUGAACUGAGAUGGAAGAGUGAGGCGAUGAGAUGGCUUGUUAGGAUGCAACCGCAGUCCAGGUAAGCAGUGAUAAGAGUCUGGAAUAAAGUGAUGAUAAUCAAAAUUGGCAAGAGCAACAGCAUUAACACAGGAGGGAAAACUGGAUUUGUAUAGGAUUGGCUACAGAGACACCAGGGAAGGGGAAGGGCCUGUUAAUGACAGUUCUAAGCUAUGGAGCUUCAGUGACACAGGGAGUG
rnacentral:lncRNA from 1 species